UGUGGCUUUGGAUGCCAAAUCUAUCUCCUAAUACUCUUUUGCUAAAAAAACAGUGGGUCACAACAGUCAUAGACCGUUCAAGGAUCUGUAAGUCCACACAUAAACGUUUAUGUGUGAAUUCCUGAAUAUCCCAUAGAUCGUUCCUGGGAAAAAAGAAAAAAAAGAAAUGGCUAGGGAUCAUCUCCACGUAGUGAUGCUUCCGGGCCCUACCUUUGGCCACCUCAUACCCUUCUUCCAGCUCUCCGUGGCCUUAGCUAAAGCUGGAAUUCAUGUUUCCUUUGUAUCAACCCCAGGAAAUAUCCAAAGACUCCCUAAACUUCCUCCAAAUUUAGCAACUCUCAUAAAUAUGGUGGAGUUUCCAUUACCUUCACUAGGCAAUGACUUGUUGCCUGAAGGAGCUGAGGCCACUAUAGACGUUCCAGUAGAGAAAGCUGACUACAUAAAGGCUGCAUAUGAUCGCCUCCAAUACCCUAUCAGCCAGUUCAUCGCUGAGCAAUUACCGGACUGGAUUAUAAUCGAUUUUUCUGGUCAUUGGGCGGUUGAAAUUGCCCAGAAUUAUAACAUCGGCCUCGUGUACUUCUCUGUCUUCUCUGCUGCUACUGCUAUUUUCUUUGGGCAUCCACCAGACUAUUAUUUUGUUGGUGAACACCAAAAGAAAGCUUGGCCAUCACCGGAGAGUAUGACAAAACCGCCGAAGUGGGUUAGUUUUCCGUCCUCUGUAGCAUACCGAGGUUAUGAGGCUAUUGGAUUACAUGCGGGGGUAUAUGCAGAGAAUGCUUCAGGGAUCAGUGAUGCUGCGAGAUUUACAGAGGUUCUCCGUGCAUGUAAAGCAUUGGCUAUUCGUAGUUGUAGGGAGUUUGAAGGUGAAUACUUGAGUUUACAUGAGAAAUUGAUGGGGAAGCCAGUGAUUCCCGUAGGUUUACUCCCUCAGGAAAGACAUGGAGUGAUAGGCAGUGAUAGCUCAUGGAAGAUGAUCUUUGAAUGGCUCGAUAAACAAGAACCCAAGUCAGUUUUGUUUGUAGGGUUUGGCAGUGAGUGUCAGCUGAGCAAAGAACACGUUUACGAGAUUGCUUAUGGGCUAGCUUUCUCAAGUGCCAUUUUUUUGGACAUUGAGAAAACCUUUCUGGGCUAUUGAUGAUGCUGACUCUUUGCCACUGGGUUUUAUUGACAUUACAUCUGGCAAAGGAAUGGUGUGUAUGAGCUGGGUACCGCAAAUGGAAAUUCUGGCGCACCCAUCAAUUGGGGGAUCAUUGUUUCACUCUGGGUGGGGGUCUGCAAUUGAGAUGUUACAAUUUGGUCAUUGUCUUGUUGUGUUGCCAUUUAUCUAUGACCAGCCUUUGAAUGCAAGGCUUUUCGUGGAGAAGGGCCUAGCUGUGGAAGUUGAGAGAGGUGAGGACGGAUCGUUUAGUAGGGAUGGGAUAGCCAAGGCUGUAAGGCUGUUCAUGGUGUCGAAGGAAGGCGAUAAAUUUAAAGCCCGGGUUAGAGAGGCCGCUGCGAUAUUUAGAGACGAGAAUCUGCAUCAGAUGUGCUACAUUGGUCACUUUGUUGAGUAUUUAAAACAUGGCAUGGAGGAGGGUUUUGCUUGUUAAUUUGGAGAAACCAAAUAAACCUUCUAGAUUUGGAAAAAUAUUAUCCGUAUAAGAAAGAGUAAUCACAACUGUGAUGUUAAUAAAGAGGUUGCAUUUCUAAUUGAUAAACGUGACCUUGGCAGUUUCCAAUGUUUGUGUUCCCUGCCUUUGCUAGUUGUGAUGCAGUGAUUUCGAAUUUUCCAUUUGUAUAAUGUUGUCUUACUGUAGCUAUAGUCGUGGCUGCUGGUUAUGAUUGUCAUAGUGCUAUAGAGUAUAUU